UUAUUACCACAGUGCGUUAAGGAUAGCAGCGAAAAUCCUUUUUUGGGCUUUUUUGGCCAAAAAAGAUUGUAGCGAAUAGCCUGCCCGCCU
rnacentral:sRNA from 1 species